AGGUUGCUGGAAUCCAGCCCCUAUUUUGGCGGGCCUGGUGCUGGGUCAUUUUAUGCUUCAGCAUAUGGGAACUAUGGUGGUGGCCCCAGCAGAAACAGCACCUACAGCUUCCCCGUGGUUCGUCUGCGUGGCCUUCCUUUCAACUAUCGAUAGGGUGAACAUAGAAAUUCAAGAGGCAGAGCGCGACAAUGACUAAAAUCGUGCAGCCGAAUUGAAAUAUGGAAACCUGAAUAGUUUGCAGCGUCAACUUCAGGAGACUGAAAAGGAAUUAAAUGAAUAUCAGAGUUCAGGGAAAUCAAUGCUCAGGGAAGAGGUUACUGGCAACGACAUCGCUGAAAUAGUCAGCAAAUGGACAGGCAUUCCGGUUUCCAAAUUGCAACAGUCCGAAAGAGAAAAGCUCAUUUAUUUGGAGGAAGAACACAAAUACAGUGAUUAUUAUGACGUCGAUUGUGGGCUUACAAUACAUAUUAAAUGUGAAUGACGAAAUGGGUUCGGGUGUUUCUGCUUAUGGUCCAUCAAGCAGAGAUUCAUGGAGGCAGCCCCGUGCCAUUUUUCGUCCGGAGUUCAUGAAUCGUGUUGAUGAGUAUAUUGUUUUCCAUGCUUUGGUUCGACAGCAAAUUAACAGCAUUGUGAGGUUGCAGGCAUGAUUGGUCGCCGAAAAGUGCUCACAGACCUACGGUGUUGACUAUGAGGAGACAAUUGAUUCAGUGGCUAAGUUAACACUAUUUGGGUCCUGUUGUCCAUUGCGAUGAAUUUGGAUUGUUCUUUAUUCCGACUAAAUGUUAAGAAUGCGUUCUUGAAUGAAGAGCUUACAAAAGAGGUAUACGUGUCUCUUCUUCCUGGAUUUAACUCUACUGGCCCGAGAGGGCAAGUAUACAUGUCUCUUCUUCCUGGAUCGAGAUCAAUGUUUAUGCAAAAGAUGAGAUAAGGAGGCAAAACAACAAGUAAAAGAAUUUGGAAGGGAUCAUCUCAUAAGGUGAAAUCAAGGCAUCCUAUGUUCUCCCCUCCAAUUUUGAAGAGUAUGUUAUUGCUGUAUUGAGGUUGAACAAUCUGGCAUGCUUGGAUUUUGCUCUCCUGCGGAAAAUGCUGGCAAGAUCAGAUUUGAGAAUGGAAUUCUUCCACUUGAUGAGUUUCCUACUAUGUCAUUGCUCAAGCAGAUGGAAAUCAGCUAAUGAUAAGACCCUGAGCGUAAAGAAGAAGCCGUGGAGAAAUAUGGUAAAGAUUUGACAGCCAUGGCACGCGAAGGGAAGCUUGAUCCAGUUAUUGGAAGGGAUGAUGAGAUAAGGAGAUGCAUACACAUAUUGUCCAGAAGGACUAAGAACAAUCCUGUAUUAACUGGCGAACCUGGCGUAGGGAAACCUACCAUAUCUGUAGGACUUGCCCAGAGAAUAGUUGAAGGAGAUGUACCCCAAGCUUUGAUGAACCGCAGGGUG